CAAUAGCGUAUAUUAAAGUUGUUGCAGUUAAAAAGCUCGUAGUUGGAUUUCUGAUCGAGACAUCAGGUCGGGUCCGAGAGGAUCAUGUACUUUGAUUUUGUUUUGAUCAUCCUUGGGGAGAGCAUUUCUGGCAUUCAGUUGACGGGAUUGGGAUCCUCAUCGUUUACUGUGAAAAAAUUAGAGUGUUCAAAGCAGGCCUCGGCCUCUGAAUACAUUAGCAUGGAAUAAUAAGAUAGGACUUUGGUGGUCUAUUUUGUUGGUUUGCACGCCAAAGUAAUGAUUAAUAGGGAUAGUUGGGGGUAUUCGUAUUCAAUUGUCAGAGGUGAAAUUCUUGGAUUUAUGGAAGACGAACUACUGCGAAAGCAUUUACCAAGGAUGUUUUCAUUAA
rnacentral:rRNA from 1 species